CCUACGGGAGGCAGCAGUGAGGAAUAUUGGUCAAUGGACGAGAGUCUGAACCAGCCAAGUAGCGUGAAGGAUGACUGCCCUAUGGGUUGUAAACUUCUUUUAUAUGGGAAUAAAAUGUUCCACGUGUGGGAUUUUGUAUGUACCAUAUGAAUAAGGAUCGGCUAACUCCGUGCCAGCAGCCGCGGUAAUACGGAGGAUCCGAGCGUUAUCAGGAUUUAUUGGGUUUAAAGGGAGCGUAGGUGGAUUGUUAAGUCAGUUGUGAAAGUUUGCGGCUCAACCGUAAAAUUGCAGUUGAAACUGGCAGUCGUGAGUACAGUAGAGGUGGGCGGAAUUCGUGGUGUAGCGGUGAAAUGCGUAGAUAUCACGAAGAACUCCGAUUGCGAAGGCAGCUCACUGGACUGCAACUGACACUGAGGCUCGAAAGUGUGGGUAUCAAACAGGAUUAGAUACCCUUGUAGUC
rnacentral:rRNA from 1 species